UAGCUUAGUGGUAGAGCGCUUGCCUCGCAUGCAUGAGGCACUGGGUUUGAUCCUCAG
rnacentral:tRNA from 1 species